AUUGUCCGCCUCUCCCAGGAUCCCUGGGUGGAGUGUUCCGUGCUCGCAGCGGCCUUGGCGGGCGGCCCGGCUGUCCUUUUCCUGCUCGCACCCUCAGCCCUGACCCCCAGAGCCUUCGCUUCUUCGUCCGCGCAAUGAGGAUUCGAAAAGCUUGAGCAGCUGCGAGGAUAAUGGGGUCUGUCUCAGGACCGGCUUUUACAGCCCUAAGUGGGCAAACACA